UGGGGAAUUUUGGACAAUGGGCGAAAGCCUGAUCCAGCAAUGCCGCGUGUGUGAAGAAGGCCUUCGGGUUGUAAAGCACUUUUGUCCGGAAAGAAAUCCUUGGCUCUAAUACAGUCGGGGGAUGACGGUACCGGAAGAAUAAGCACCGGCUAACUACGUGCCAGCAGCCGCGGUAAUACGUAGGGUGCAAGCGUUAAUCGGAAUUACUGGGCGUAAAGCGUGCGCAGGCGGUUUGCUAAGGCCGAUGUGAAAUCCCCGGGCUCAACCUGGGAACUGCAUUGGUGACUGGCAGGCUAGAGUACGGCAGAGGGGGGUAGAAUUCCACGUGUAGCAGUGAAAUGCGUAGAGAUGUGGAGGAAUACCGAUGGCGAAGGCAGCCCCCUGGGCCAAUACUGACGCUCAUGCACGAAAGCGUGGGGAGCAAACAGGAUUAGAUACCCUGGUAGUCCACGCCCUAAACGAUGUCAACUAGUUGUUGGGGAUUCAUUUCCUUAGUAACGUAGCUAACGCGUGAAGUUGACCGCCUGGGGAGUACGGUCGCAAGAUUAAAACUCAAAUGAAUUGACGGGGUCAUAGCUGUUUCCU
rnacentral:rRNA from 1 species